UAGGGAAUCUUCCGCAAUGGGCGAAAGCCUGACGGAGCAACGCCGCGUGAGUGAUGAAGGUCUUCGGAUCGUAAAACUCUGUUAUUAGGGAAGAACAAAUGUGUAAGUAACUAUGCACGUCUUGACGGUACCUAAUCAGAAAGCCACGGCUAACUACGUGCCAGCAGCCGCGGUAAUACGUAGGUGGCAAGCGUUAUCCGGAAUUAUUGGGCGUAAAGCGCGCGUAGGCGGUUUUUUAAGUCUGAUGUGAAAGCCCACGGCUCAACCGUGGAGGGUCAUUGGAAACUGAAAAACUUGAGUGCAGAAGAGGAAAGUGGAAUUCCAUGUGUAGCGGUGAAAUGCGCAGAGAUAUGGAGGAACAUCAGUGGCGAAGGCGACUUUCUGGUCUGUAACUGACGCUGAUGUGCGAAAGCGUGGGGAUCAAACA
rnacentral:rRNA from 1 species